rnacentral:rRNA from 1 species
AGUGAACGCUGGCGGUAGGCCUAACACAUGCAAGUCGAACGGCAGCACAGUAAGAGCUUGCUCUUACGGGUGGCGAGUGGCGGACGGGUGAGGAAUACAUCGGAAUCUACUUUUUCGUGGGGGUUAACGUAGGGAAACUUACGCUAAUACCGCAUACGACCUACGGGUGAAAGCAGGGGAUAUUCGGACCUUGCGCGAUUGAAUGAGCCGAUGUCGGAUUAGCUAGUUGGCGGGGUAAAGGCCCACCAAGGCGACGAUCCGUAGCUGGUCUGAGAGGAUGAUCAGCUACACUGGAACUGAGACACGGUCCAGACUCCUACGGUAGGCAGCAGUGUGGAAUAUUGGACAAUGGGCGCAAGCCUGAUCCAGCCAUACCGCGUGGGUGAAGAAGGCCUUCGGUUUGUAAAGCCCUUUUGUUGGGAAAGAAAAGCAGCAGGUUAAUACCCCGCUGUUCUGACGGUACCCAAAGAAUAAGCACCGGCUAACUUCGUG